AGCCUUCAAAGAUAUCCCACGAUAAGUUUUUUUGGUAAAAUUGAUUUUGCCUUGUGUUAUUAGCCUUUAUUGUGUUAUAAUAGAUGGCUAGAGUUGAUGGUAGUCGAGGUAAUGGUCGUGGUCGUUUGCGUGGUCGCGGUAGGUAGCGGGGUAGAGCCUCGAGGAGCGACAAGAGCGUUUGCCAGACUAUCACGACAAAUUUUAUUGGCGGAUCGCAUGUGCAUCAAGAGGGGCCGUUAGGUGAGGGUAGU
rnacentral:lncRNA from 1 species